UUGUUGUUUGGAGUAGCCUCCGCUCAUCCCGUUACAAUGGGGUUGCCCCCCCCCCCCACUUUUUGGGAGUAUGUAUAAAAUUUGGAACAGACAUGAGAGAAAUCGAAGUUACAAUUUAUAAAUCUACGCCACCAACCCCCCCCCCCCCCCCCCCGGAUUAGGAUUUUGAAGAUUUUGGGAACCUGCCUUUUCCCUUAUUUUUUUUAUUUUUUGCUUGUCAAGAUUUUUGGAUGAGUCUGCCCCCCCCCCCCCCCCCCCCCCCCACUUUCAAAAUCGAUGCUACGUGCCUGCCUAGGAACAUUCUUACGUCAAAUCUUAGGAACACACAUAGGUUAAAUCUUAGGAAAGUUUCAAAUUUUUUUUGUUUCCAUUCUGAAUAGUUAAAUAACUUAAGAAAUAAAUUGAACUGAAUUUUUUUUUUUAAAAGUAUGAAUUUAUAGAUAAAACCUGUCAUUUAUAAUUAAAAAAAAGUUAAGU
rnacentral:sRNA from 1 species